GUUCCUCCUCAGCUGCGGCUGUUUGGCACCUGGUCACACAUUUUGCCAAUCAGCCCGCUCCUAUUUGUACCUGCUUUGUCUUGUGUGUACAUGUCACAUCUGUGUGAACAUGGAGACAGUGGCUGAGUGUGCCUGCUGUCAUGAGAUACAGGCAGUGGCCACAACAAUGGAGCAGUAAGGGGUGGAGACGUGGAUCAUAGACCACCCUGGCUUUCAAUCUCUGUGUCUGGAUGAAUGGGUGCUGCAGACAGCGUAUUACGCCUACAAACAGCAAUAUGGCGUGCUGCAGCAACAGCAAAAUGAGUGGAGACGAUACACAGCAUCUCGACAGUUUGUCCUCUUCUGCUGGGGAUAUCUGGAAAAGAUAUUGUCUGCUGGUUCUGCUCAGGACCUCUGCAUCAAUGAUGAUUUUGAGUAAGCAUUUGUGAGUUGAGUGCUUCUCAAAUUGUUUAUCUUCAGAGAGAAAAAACAAAUUUUUAAAUCAUUCAAGUUUAUUUCACAGAAAAACGGCACAGUAGACUUGUCUUGGUAAUCGGAUUGUCUUUGACUAAAAUAAUCUUGUUUUGUCACCAGAAAAAUGGCUACCGCUAAAGCAUCUGGUUUUGUUUCCAGAAAAAAUAGUAACAUUUCUGUAUUUGUUGCCAGAAAGAUGGCUGAAAAUAUCAGGUUUUGUUGCCCCAUUUGGAUUUUUAAAAUAUAUUUCCAUGUCUGUCCGGAGUCCUCCUGGCCUACUGUGCAGCCAACCAGAUCCCAGAGUCAUGUACUGUUACCAGACAAAGGCAGAAGCAGAAACGAAUGGAGGACUAUGUAGUGGACUCUAGUUGUGGGGCAGUGAGGGACCUAGGUGAUGUAGAGAAACUGAAAACAAACUUGUAUCUACCUUGCCUUGACAGGAUGGUUGCUGAGAUGGAUCAGCAUUUUUCAUCUCUCAACAGCCAAAUUCUAAAAGGUGUUCAGGCCUGUAAUCCAGGAUCUGACAACUUCCUCUGCGAGGAGGACAUUUAGGGUUCUGGCAGAUCAUUACAAUGUUGAUCUAAAACCUGAAGAAGUGUUAGUGGCCAAAAACUAUCUGGCCAGAAAGCAGGAGAGCCUUCCAAUCACAGACAUGCAAAGUGUUUUCAGCUGCCUGAAUCAAGUCAUGUUCCCAACCUUGACACAGGUCAUUCAGAUCUCUCUGACCAUUCCAGUGUCCAGCUGCAGUUGUGAACGGACGUUCAGUGUGCUGAGACGGCUCCACACUUGGCUGAGAAGCACAAUGGGGCAGGAUAGGCUUCACCAUCUUGCCAUCAUGUCAGUUGAGAGGGAAGGACUUUCCAAGUUAAGUCAGAGUGAAGUGAUUGACCACUUUGCAAAAAUGAAAACGAGACGUUACAGUUUACUCUUCAGAAAAUGAUUCCCUGAACAGACACACAACAGUUGUUCAAUUAUUCUACUACUCUGGCUUUAUUGUUUUGUGUAUAUUUUAUAAUUUUGUGUAUCUGAAAUAGGAUUAGCCACAUUGCCAUAAAUAGAAAUUAAAUAAUAUAAAAGAACCCAGAGAUGUAGGGGUGCUUUAUUUUUUGUUUUACUUUUUGUAGAUGUUAAAUUUGCAGAUGAUUACUGCAAUAAAUAUUUCAAAAAGAUUCAUUGCUCUUCCUUUUUGCUUUUACCAGUAGCAGUUUAGAAGUCUGGAAUAAAAACGUGCACAAG